rnacentral:rRNA from 1 species
UACGAAGGGGGCGAGCGUUGUUCGGAAUCACUGGGCGUAAAGGGCGCGUAGGCGGCCCUCUUAGUCGCGUGGGAAAGCCCCGGGCUCAACCUGGGAACGGCGCGCGAAACGGGAGGGCUGGAGUUCGGGAGAGGAGAGUGGAAUUCUCAGUGUAGAGGUGAAAUUCGUAGAUAUUGGGAAGAACACCGAUGGCGAAGGCAGCCAUCUGGACCGACACUGACGCUGAGGCGCGAAAGCGUGGGGAGCAAACAGG